rnacentral:lncRNA from 1 species
AGUUAAGGAGGCAGUAAAUAGAUAACAUUGUCGGGGGCUGCUAUAACAAAUUGCCACUCAAGUGGGUGGCUUAAAACAAUAGGAAUUUCAUCUCUGAAAUCAAGCUGUUGGUACAGCUGCAUUGUCCCCAGAGGCCCUGGACAUGAAUUCAUUCUUGGCUUUUCCACCUUCUGCUGCUGUCAGCAUUCCCUUCCUCGUGACCACUCCAUUGACCGUUUCUAUGAUCACACAGUCUUCUCUUAUUCUGUCAAAACUCCCUCUGCUUCAGUUUAUAAGGAUGUCAAGUGGCUUUACCCACCAAGAUAAUCAGGGCUGUGCAGUAUCUGAGGAUGGCCAUGAAUCCAGUGCCGUGAAAAUGGCACCUGGAUGUGGCUCAGUCAAGGAGCAAAUGCCUUCUCUUCAUAUUGAGUGACUGGUUUUUCCUGUAAGUUUACUUGGUUUUUGUCUCUUCCUGAUUCUGAAUAAACAUGCUUUUUGGGGCCCCAGAGGGACCCCGUGUCAUGC